GCAAUGCACGCAAGUGUGACGGGGCUACCCCGAGUGCCGUCCGCUGAGGAUGGCUUUUCCUUGGUGUAACUAGCCAGGGGAAUAAGGAGAGGGCAAGACUGGUGUCAGCCGCCGCGGUAAUACCAGCUCUCCGAGUGGUAGGGAUGAUUAUUGGGCUUAAAGCGUCCGUAGCCGGCUUAGCAAGUUUCCUGUUAAAUUCAGCGACCUAAUCGUUGAGCCGCGGGAAAUACUACUAGGCUAGGAGGCGGGAGAGGUCAACGGUACUUCCGGGGUAGGGGUGAAAUCCUAUAAUCCCGGGAGGACCACCAGUGGCGAAGGCUGUUGACUAGAACGCGCUCGACGGUGAGGGACGAAAGCUGGGGGCACGAACCGGAUUAGAUACCCGGGUAGUCCCAGCCGUAAACGAUGCGGGCUAGGUGUUAGGGUGGCCACGAGCCACUCUAGUGCCGCAGCGGAGGCAUUAAGCCCGCCGCCUGGGGAGUACGGCCGCAAGGCUGAAACUUAA
rnacentral:rRNA from 1 species